rnacentral:lncRNA from 1 species
AAUGAGGCCAGAAGAAUAAACGGAAACCACUGAAAUAAUAACCAAAAAAAAUCUUACAAUAGUUUAUUUUAAUCAAAAUUGCACUGAUAAACUCUAUCUACCAAACUCCUAGGUAACCACCAUUACUAUAUAAUGUAACUUCACUAUAUUUGGUAUCACUUAUAUUGAUACUUUGGACACCUGAUGGGAGGAGUCAGCGCAUUGGAAAAGAUACUGAUGUUGGGAAAGACUGAGGGCAAGAGGAAAAGCAGGCAGCAGAGGAUGAGAUGGUUAGAUUGCAUCACCAAUUCAAUGGACAUGAGUUUGAGCUCACUCCAGGAGAUGUGGUAAAAAAAAAGAGUAUAAUUAAUAGAAAUUAACCCUUUGAAAAAUAAUUAUUUUCCCAUAUAUUUAAAUUAUUGAAGGGAAAAAGCAUCUGUGGCUAAUGUGGCUUUUGUUAGUUUAUAAAUCAGACCAUGACUUAAUACCUGUUUCUACAAUCAUUUUAAGUGUUUUUUAGUCAAUAGUUUAAACUCAGAAUAUACUAAAGAUUGUUUGAGGUAGGUAAUCUUGGAACAGAAAUAAAUUAUUUCCAGAUGAUUAAAUAGACAAAAAGUGGCAACAGAAUUUGCCAUUUGCUUCUUGUAUUUCAGGUUGUUGAUUUAUUUGUAUUUCUGCAAAAAUAAAAGUGAAGUGCAGUUAAUAAUAGAUCUGUUUAAUGACAUUAUAAGUGAU